rnacentral:rRNA from 1 species
UACAGAGGUGGCAAGCGUUGUUCGGAAUUACUGGGCGUAAAGGGCGCGUAGGCGGCCAUCUAAGUCAGACGUGAAAUCCCCCGGCUUAACCUGGGAACUGCGUUUGAUACUGGACGGCUGGAGUUUGGGAGAGGGAUGUAGAAUUCCAGGUGUAGCGGUGAAAUGCGUAGAUAUCUGGAGGAAUACCGGUGGCGAAGGCGGCAUCCUGGACCAAUACUGACGCUGAGGCGCGAAAGCUAGGGGAGCAAACGGGG